rnacentral:rRNA from 1 species
AGAAUGAACGCUGGCGGCAUGCCUAACACAUGCAAGUCGAACGAAGCCUUCGGGCUUAGUGGCGCACGGGUGCGUAACGCGUGGGAAUCUGCCCCUCGGUUCGGAAUAACAGUGGGAAACUACUGCUAAUACCGGAUAAUGACGUAAGUCCAAAGAUUUAUCGCCGAGGGAUGAGCCCGCGUAGGAUUAGCUAGUUGGUGUGGUAAAGGCGCACCAAGGCGACGAUCCUUAGCUGGUCUGAGAGGAUGAUCAGCCACACUGGGACUGAGACACGGCCCAGACUCCUACGGGAGGCAGCAGUGGGGAAUAUUGGACAAUGGGCGAAAGCCUGAUCCAGCAAUGCCGCGUGAGUGAUGAAGGCCUUAGGGUUGUAAAGCUCUUUUACCCGGGAUGAUAAUGACAGUACCGGGAGAAUAAGCUCCGGCUAACUCCGCGCCAGCAGCCGC